AUCGCUUCUCGGCCUUUUGGCUAAGGUCAAGUGUAGUA
rnacentral:snRNA from 1 species